UGGGGAAUUUUGGACAAUGGGCGAAAGCCUGAUCCAGCAAUGCCGCGUGUGUGAAGAAGGCCUUCGGGUUGUAAAGCACUUUUGUCCGGAAAGAAAUCCUUGGCUCUAAUACAGUCGGGGGAUGACGGUACCGGAAGAAUAAGCACCGGCUAACUACGUGCCAGCAGCCGCGGUAAUACGUAGGGUGCAAGCGUUAAUCGGAAUUACUGGGCGUAAAGCGUGCGCAGGCGGUUUGCUAAGACCGAUGUGAAAUCCCCGGGCUCAACCUGGGAACUGCAUUGGUGACUGGCAGGCUAGAGUAUGGCAGAGGGGGGUAGAAUUCCACGUGUAGCAGUGAAAUGCGUAGAGAUGUGGAGGAAUACCGAUGGCGAAGGCAGCCCCUGGGCCAAUACUGACGCUCAUGCACGAAAGCGUGGGGAGCAAACAGGAUUAGAUACCCUGGUAGUCCACGCCCUAAACGAUGUCAACUAGUUGUUGGGGAUUCAUUUCCUUAGUAACGUAGCUAACGCGUGAAGUUGACCGCCUGGGGAGUACGGUCGC
rnacentral:rRNA from 1 species